GCUCUAGGUUACUCCCAACCUCUUGAACUCUGGGUAAACCAGAUUAUUUUUAGGAGCUCUAAGCUUUCCAUAGCCCCAAGAUGAACUGGACAUCCAGGCUCACUAUCAGAAAUUCAGUCACCUUGGAAUGCUGAAACCAACAUGGCCUGUUCCAGGCUCUCUGAACCAGGAUGUGGCAGAUGAUGAUGCUAACUCUGAUGCUAGCAUGGACCACAAUUGAUUUCAAGCAAAGUCCCCUUUCAGGAUGGAGAGGGAGAGAAAGGAGACCCUUCUCAAAUCCUCUGGAGUCAGGAAUCAUUGACAAAACAGCUUUCUUCCCAAUGGAAAAGGGUCACGGAGAAAGAAACAGGUGGCGCCCGCGGAAGGAUGCAGGGCGAGACAUUGCCACCGCGGACCCGGAGCUGCGGCGAGGCCGACGCCCGCGGGGAGG